GGCAGAGUCUAAGUUCGAACUAAAUCUUUCCAGUCCUGUCUGAGAGCCUGCAGACCGGACUGGGUCAGAUAUCUCCCCUUUCCCCUGACUCUGCCUCCUGCCAGGGUCAUAGGUGCCUAUUUUUCCUUGCCCAUGGAAAAGAAACUAGAGCUGGAGUGAGCCUCCUGGAUCCAUAGUGAAAGCCAGCAUCCCACAAUGCUCUCGGGAAUGUGUGCAUACGCCCACCUGCAAGGCCCAGAGGAAUCCAGGCUUUAGACUUGAAAGGCAGAGCCUGGGCUCAGGGCCUGGCCUCCCCCGAGACUCUGCUCCAAAUCCACCACUUUAGGCUACAGAGCCCAUCCCUGUUGAGCAUCUUGACAUCCUGGGGAUGCCCCAAAAGUGUGGC
rnacentral:lncRNA from 1 species